AAACAGAAAUGUAGAAUGACAGUCGCUCAAUCUGUUGCAAGCAAUGACUUUCAAACAGCAAGUGCUAAAGAAGCCAAACACGCAGAAUUACAAGUCCAACGCUGAAACUGCUGGAAAAGAACAGUGAAAAAGAUACAGGUCUUCAUUCUUGAUGGGAUUCAGAAACUGAACUACUGUGUCUUCACAGACAAAUAAUCCAAAAUCAGCCUAAGAGUGUGGAGUAAACAGCAUCAAGCCUCUCUUUAAUAGGGAACUCAUCUAUAAAAACAAACACUUGUUAUACUUUUAUGAAUUAUCAAGUUGUACAACACACAGCAAUAAGGAUUUAGACAAACAAUCACAGAUUUUAUUAAUUUUAUUGUUGUGUCUAAUAUAUAUAUAGAAACAACUUGUGUUGUAAAAGAAAGGAUGACAGCAUAUCUCUUUAUCACGUGCCAGUAUAGGCCCUGACUGCACGUGAGAACAUUUGAAUUAUCUGGCACGAGGCCUCACACGUCAUACUUCAACUGACACAACGGUCUCGAUGGUAGGAAUAAGCAAAAGCUCCUUUAAAUUUCGUCAUUUUUUUUAUACACAUCCCGUUUAUUUUGUAGUUAAUUGUUAGAUAAGUUAGUAAUUUCGUAAAUUUUUCGUUACAGGGUAAGAUUUCGUUACCAUAUACAGUAAAUAUUGGUUCAAGAGGGCAGUUUGAUAACUCAGUCGAGGUUUGUAAAUGGUAAAUAACUUAUUCGAGGUUUGUAGCCAUAUUUAAGUAACUCGCUUACUUUGUUUCAGUGUUUGAGUAAAUGUAUAAUGUUAUUAAGUAAUAAUUAAUAUAAGUUACUGCGCGAGCUCAUUACGGCCGUUUCUCAAUCCGAAGGCUACUGGAGGUGGCAUAUGUAGGCUGUAUACGUCAUCAAGACUGUCAGAUUUAAGAAUAUUAACAAUUCUAAAGUUGACUAUUAUUCUUAGUUAAUCGUAAAUUGUUGUAAUAUGCGUAUGACUUGCGAAUGUAAUGCUCAUUUAACUUAAAUAAACCAGGCUUGAUGACGUAUGCAGCCUGCAUAUGCGACCUCCGCAGGAUGCAGCCUUCCGUUUCAGAAAUGGCCUACAAGUGUGAGCGUGCGCGAGAUUCUGUCUGAAUUGAUUCUUUAGUAAUGGCAAAGCAAAAAUUUACUGUCGUGGUGAUUAAACGCAUUUUAAAGUUUAAAUUAAAACGCCUAACUUACCUUUCCAGGGGUUUCUGUUCCUGCAGUCUUUCAGGGGUGCUGGCGCGUAUGACGAUGCGGACAUGAACAGCAUACUACAGUAUACCGCCACCUACUGUACUGUAGUACAAUAACGUGUAGGAUUGAAUACUGUGCCAAACGCAGUAAAAAAAAAAAAGCCAUUUAAUUCAUUGUAAAAACAAUGGACAUGCCAGUUCAAGUAACUUGUGGGCUAAAUCACCAAAAUAAGUUUGUAGAUGUGGUUCAAUUAUUUUUAAUGUGCAGCAUAAUGAAUCAGCCUGAAUGCAUGUAGCCUGUGAACAUAUUGUUUAGACUUUAUUUUUAAACCUUUAUCUGGUGUAUGGUUAAACCUUAUGAUGGUAGCAAUUGAAUACAAAUCUUAAACUGAAUCAAAUCUCUUAUAAUAAUACAUAAAAUCUCUGGGACGGUUGGGGGUACAUCAGGGUAACAUUUAAGCAGCUUAAUUUUUUUAAUUCUUUUAUAUAUUUUGAUGUGUAUAUAUAUAUAUUUACUUUCUUUAUUUUGUUUUCUCAGCUUUUAAACAUCUAAACAUGUCCUCCAAAAAGGUUUCCUGUGCUGUUUUGCUCCAUUUUACUGAACAAAAUAAGGCUGAGGUAGCACCAUCCUUGUGGUUAGAGUGAAAGAAUGUGGGUAUUGAGACCAAAAUAAACAAUGUGCCAUUCUGGACAAACAGCUGUGGACAAUAUGCAGUCAGAGUAGCCCAUUUUCUCACACAGACCUGAGGAUAAGAUUUCCAGUUUGAAAGUGAAGAAAAUGAAUCAUUGUUAACAGCAAAUAGGAGUAUUUCUCAGCUGAAAAGCCAGGUGAAACUAUAAGGUCACUAUGAUUCACUUUCAUAUUAUCAUUCUUUUCAGAUUUUUUUCCCUGUGUUUUUUUUGUUAGAUGAGGAGCAACCAGUAAGAAAAAGCAAAAAGAUGUUUUGAUGUUGCCUGAGGCACCUUAUUUUCCAUUUCAUGCACAAUCACAAAUGCAGCACAUCAAUCAAUUUCUUCCAACCAGCGAAUCAAGAAAUCUUGGAGUGGAGAAUCAUUUUGAAAGUAGACCAAAUCCAGGACAACAUCACAACAGUGGUCGGAAAAAUGGAGCAAGCCAAGCUGACUUUCAAAAGAUGAUUCGUUAUCUGUUUCUUCAGAGGGGAGGCAGUUUGGGAGAUGGGAAUUAGGAGGAUGCUACAGUUACACAGGGCAAAUUUCAGCAGCUCAGUUUCAAACUUGCAACUAACAUUGAGUUAAACUGGUCAGGGUGGAAGACCAGCUGACGUACCAGUUUUGCCAGGUUAAAGGACCAGCUUAAACCAGCUAAGACAGCCAACCAACUUAGCCAAGGUGGUAUAUGCUGGUGGGUCAGCUGGUCUUCCCGCCUGACCAGCUACAAAGUGUCCAAAACCUCUGUAAAACAAUCCUGCUACACCAGCCUGACCAGCUGAAACCAUACUGAGUAUUCAUAUUCAUAUCGAUUUGCAUUUACACAUAAAAUAGGUAACAUACAGUACUGUGCAAAGUCUAGGCCACCAUCACCAGCUUUGUUGUUUUAGCUAAAUUUAAAUGUCCAUCCAUAUUUAUUUUUUACUCUUUUUAUUAAGAUACAAACAGAAAAUACAGGAAAUAUGUACACAAAAUUAAAAACAUCAGUCAGUAUUUAGUGUGACUUCUCUUGGCACGAAACACAUCUUGAGCUUUUUUGAGGAGACUGAAGUCAUUCGAUUAGAAUUAGAAAGGAUAAAAUUUUAUUUAUGUGUAAGAGAUCCUGCAGUUGCCUGCUAUUGCUCAAGUUGAAGGUGAGUUUACCCUAAAUACUUUAAACUUCAGCUUAAACUUUUAUACUGUUUUUUAAUACUACAUACACAUUUCCUGUAUUUUCUGGUUGUAUUCUAAUAAAGAGACUGAGAAAUAAACAUAUGAUCACUACACAAUUGCAAAAACAACAAAUCUAAUGGUAGCAUGCAGACUUUUGCACAGAACUGUAUGUCCACAUUUAGCCACCUUUACUUUGAGUGAACUGUAACAGCAACUAUAAUGCCAUAAACAUUCAAUACUAAGGUAAAAGAGAGUUGUGCAUGCUUUCUAGUUUUAGCACAGAAUUCUGUCUCCCUUUUAAAUGUUUGCUACAGAUUUUUUGCAAGACAUUUUUGUCCAACCUAAAAACAACUUGUACUGACAUAUAUUAAAAUACAUCAGUGCCCUUUGUUUUUUUUACAUCAGAUUGCACACAAGUAAUGUUUUAGUAAGGCAUGUUUGUUAAAACUGGUUAUAUUUCAUAAUUAAACUGAGGCAUAGUCCUGGUUUAAGCUCCUUGUCUGGGAAACCACCCCAAUAAAUACUUAACUUUUGAAUG